ensembl:lincRNA
UUGUGGUCUAGGACUCUGCUUUGGGUCUACUGGAGCCUGGGGAGUGUUACUGUUAUUAUUGUAGUUAGUAAACAAUUACUGAAUGCUUGCUAUGUGCUUAGCAGUAUCAUAAGCCCUUUAACAAUGAUUUUUUAAGACUUAUUCUAUAGGCUCUUUAGCAGAAUCCUUUUAAUUGCUUAAUUAGAUUCUAUUAUUAUUAUUUCUAUUUUACAGGGGAGAAAACUAAGAUGUCAGAGGUAAAUCAUUUGCUCACUGUUACCCAGUCAACGCUGGCAAGUCUGAUCUCCAAGCCCACUAUUUUUAUCACUAAAUCCAAACGGACAACACUAUGCAGAUCCCGACCUUAUCCCCGCCUCUAAUAACCAAAGCCGCUUCAGUGCAUGCUCAUGGAACCUGCUUCCCUCUGCUUACUUUUCCUAGUCAAAUGGAGAAGAGUGCAAGAGAUCUGUCAAUGCAGUAGAGACCCAAACAAUCCAACUGAGGGCCUGGAUCCCAUGGCAAUGUCCUGCAUGAGUCCAGCUGAAGACCUAGAGCCCAUGGCGACGUGCUCUACAAGUCCAACUGGAGGUCAGAAUCCAUGACAAUGUCCUAUGCAAGUCUGUAUCAAGGAUCUGCACUGGAAGGGCCCAAAGGUCAGUGGUGGAAUCUAGAAAGUCUGUGCCAGUGGGAUGAAGAAUCUGUGUCACAGGCUGAGGGAUCUGCACUAGAGCCAGGAAAUGAUGGUUAAAGUGUUAUAGCAAAAAUUUGGGCUGUAUUUCGCAAGAGACCAAAGAGAACAGACAAAGUUUUAAUUUAGACCUGUCACCUCUCAUCCCGACUUGCAAGUCCGGGAAGUGGGUGUGGACCUGUCUUUGUUCCCAGGUUAUAUACAUUUUUGGUUUCCAUGGUAACAGAAAGGAAUGUUGUAGCCCUGGCCACAUGUUGUUUUCCUUGUGCCAUGUAACCGGGUCAGGCUCCGGUCAUGAGCCCAACCACAAUGAUAUAUACUUUCUGUACUCUGUUCUAUAUGUCCCCCUUUAGAUAACCAUACAUUUGCUUUAUGGUUACAAUGUUUAUCUAGGGCCAUGGAAGGGAUGAAACAACCCAGGCAGGGUCAUAGGUGGUUAUCUGGGCCCUGGUCUUUGGAGAAGCAUUCCAGGGCUAAGUCAGGACUGCAAAGUUAACUCUUUACAACCCCUCCGGGAUGUUUCUCAAGACACAUUUUGAGGCUUGCAUGAAGACUAGAAUUAUUCUAUCUUAAAAUGAUAUGCUAAGAGUCAUUGUCCCCUACAAAAGUAAGGACCCGGGCUUCCCCAAGGAGGACCACAGCCAUCCUCACUGCCAGCGAGGACCCAGGCUCCUUGGAUGAUGAGAACAGCCAAGUUCAUAUCGGGAAAGCCAGCACAACAAGACUCUCCAGGAGAACCAACAGCACACCGUGCUCCCCUCUAGUUCCCUCUUUAUGCUGCUGGCAACAGUCCUCAGGUGGGCCUUCCACACGCGACGCCAUGCUGAUUCGGUUCAGCUGUGUGUUACAAGUUGCCCGUUAGUUAAUCCACCACGCUAGGCUACUGGGAUUAGGGCCAAACCAAUUGGUGGACUGAUUUAGUAAUCACACAUCCUCAUUCCCAGCAUUGCGCCAUGAAUCAAUUGCACACUCUAGAGCCAGUCACCUCUGGAAAAUCCCCACCUAUUACUGCAAGAGCCUUUGGGGUGCCAUCUAGACAUAAGCCAUAUGGAUCCUGGAAUCCAAACUCUGCAAAAACCCAGUCACCCCCAGAAAGGCUCAUAGCUGUGUGAAAUGUUUUGGCAAAGUGAAGUCCAGAGUGGGUGGGAUUCUCUCUGAACUUAGUAUCAUUCUGCCCUGAGAAAUGAGCAGCCCUCAAUAGGUGACCCGGGACUGGAAGACUUAGGC